rnacentral:lncRNA from 1 species
AAGGUUUUGCUUGCACCUUGUGGCAGUUCUAAUUCCUUUUGCAUCUCCUGGAGGUGUUUACUAGCUUCUAUAUGCAUAUAUUACCACACCAUGAAGUAGUGUCUAUAUACUUGAGAGAUGAUACUUCAAGCUUCUAUUUCUUUAGAACUCUUUUUUAAAGGUUUAAUGUUUGAAAAUGUUAGUAGGUGUUAUACGACUGCAUAUGUUAAGUGUAUCUCCCUUGCGUAGUUGAAUGGUGUGGGAGUGCACUGUUAAACCAUCUGGUUGGUCCAGUUGAAAAAUCCCUUUUACUUGAUGAGAUGGGGAUGUAGGCUGAAGAGCCGGCCUGGUUGAAGAGCCGUGGGAACACCCUCCUCCUUCCUUCCUUAUUUCUUCUGAGGUGGAAGUGUGAUGCUCCAAAACAGUUCCUCUCUCUUCAGUUCCUUCUGUCCUUUUCUUAAGCUUAAUAGUUCUGUGUUCUGGAAACCAUUUCACUGGUUUUUGAUUUUAUAGUGCUCUCUUUACUCAAAUGUACACAGCCAAGGCUACUGAGGAGUAAACAAAGUAGAACAGUGUUACACCCCUUUCAAAUUCAUUCACACUUCCACCAGAGUGAUAUUUCACAGGUUUUAAUAUUAUCAGGUGACUUUCCUAUGUAAAAGCACCUAGUCACUCUCCAUGACAAAGCCCAGCUCCUUGGCAUAGCUUGUCCAUAUCCAUACCUCCCUACCUUUCCAGGUUUCUUUCCCAUAGCCUCUUUGUAGAAUUCACUGCAGCCUAACUGCCUUCCUAACAGCCUAACUGCCUUCCUUCUGCCUGCCCAGAAGUGUACCAGGCUCACUUGUGCCUUUGCUCACUCGGAUGCCUCCCUAGAUCACAUUUUCACCUCCCUUGUUCAUCUGGCUCUCCCCACCCUCCUACUUUCAGUCUUAUCCUUCUAGGUCAGCAAAUCUGGAGAGCUUCUCCUCUUGCUCUAGGGUGAGCCAAGUGCCUCUUUGUUCCCUUUGCCCAGUGAACACACUCCUAAAGCAAUGCAUGAUGUCAUUAUUACAAUGAAGGGAAGAAAGGAAGACAUGAAGGGGAAAUGGGACUAUUUACCAAGUGUAUCUGCAUAGACUAAAGGAGACAAGAGGAAGUACUGAGCACCUUGAUUCCUGCAGAUAAUUAAUUAUUUAAGAACCAUAAGAAUUCUUUCCUAGCUUCUCAUAAGCCUGC